GGAUAUGGUCCGUUAUGAGUCGCAACAUUAUGUAAAAUAAAGAAAGAGGGAGGGUUCGAAUCCCUCUCUCUCCGCCA
rnacentral:tRNA from 1 species